GCACCUACCGAUUGAAUGAUUCGGUGAAGAUUCGGGACUGUGCCAGCGCUCCCUUACCGGAGCUCUGGACUGGGAACUUAUCUAAACCUCAUCAUUUAGAGGAAGGUGAAGUCGUAACAAGGUUUCC
rnacentral:rRNA from 1 species